UACGUAGGGUGCGAGCGUUGUCCGGAAUUAUUGGGCGUAAAGAGCUCGUAGGCGGCUUGUCGCGUCGGAUGUGAAAGCCCGGGGCUCAACCCCGGGCCUGCAGCCGAUACGGGCAGACUAGAGUUCGGCAGGGGAGACUGGAAUUCCUGGUGUAGCGGUGAAAUGCGCAGAUAUCAGGAGGAACACCGGUGGCGAAGGCGGGUCUCUGGGCCGAUACUGACGCUGAGGAGCGAAAGCGUGGGGAGCGAACAGG
rnacentral:rRNA from 1 species